GACGAACGCUGGCGGCGUGCCUAAUACAUGCAAGUAGAACGCUGAAACUUGGUGCUUGCACCGAGCGGAUGAGUUGCGAACGGGUGAGUAACGCGUAGGUAACCUGCCUGGUAGCGGGGGAUAACUAUUGGAAGCGAUAGCUAAUACCGCAUAAGAGUAGAUGUUGCAUGACAUUUGCUUAAAAGGUGCAAUUGCACCACUACCAGAUGGACCUGCGUUGUAUUAGCUAGUUGGUGGGGUAACGGCUCACCAAGGCGACGAUACAUAGCCGACCUGAGAGGGUGAUCGGCCACACUGGGACUGAGACACGGCCCAGACUCCUACGGGAGGCAGCAGUAGGGAAUCUUCGGCAAUGGACGGAAGUCUGACCGAGCAACGCCGCGUGAGUGAAGAAGGUUGUCGGAUCGUAAAGCUCUGUUGUAAGAGAAGAACGAGUGUGAGAGUGGAAAGUUCACACUGUGACGGUAUCUUACCAGAAAGGGACGGCUAACUACGUG
rnacentral:rRNA from 1 species